UUGUUGUUUUGUGUUACGGGCGUAUGGUGGAUGCCUUGGCAUGCUGGGCCGAUGAAGGACGUGUGAGGCUGCGUUAAGCCUCGGGGAGUUGCCAACAGUGCGUUGAUCCGAGGAUGUCCGAAUGGGGAAACCCAACACCAGUUGUGUGGUGUUACCUGCAGGUGAAUGCAUAGCCUGUGUGGAGGUGACGUGGGGAAGUGAAACAUCUCAGUACCCACAGGAGAAGAAAACAAUUUGUGAUUCCGUGUGUAGUGGCGAGCGAUAGCGGAUGAGGCUAAACCGUGUGCGUGUGAUACCUGGGUAGGGGUUGCGUGUGCGGUGUUGUGGGGUGUGAUCGUUGCGGGCUACCUGACCGCAAGAUGGUGUGUGUGCGUUAGCGGAAACGUCUGGGAUGGCGUGCCGGAGCGGGUGAUUAGCCCCGUACGUGAAGGCGUUGCAUAUGUUGUCUGAUCAUGUUUUCCCCGAGUAGCAGCGGGCUCGUGAAAUCUGCUGUGAAUCUGCCGGGACCACCCGGUAAGCCUAAAUACCCAGUGUGACCGAUAGUGAAUAAGUACCGUGAGGGAAUGGUGAAAAGUACCCCGGGAGGGGAGUGAAAGAGUUCCUGAAACCAUGCGCUUACAAUCCGUCAGAGCACCGUUUGUGUGUGAUGGCGUGCCUUUUGAAGAAUGAGCCUGCGAGUCAGCGGCAUGUCGCGAGGUUAACCCGUUAUGUGGGGUAGUCGUAGCGAAAGCGAAUCCUAAGAGGGUGUCAAGUGGCAUGUCCUGGACCCGAAGCGGGGUGAUCUACCCAUGGCCAGUGUGAAGCAGCUGUAAGAGGUUGUGGAGGCGCGAACCCACUUAGGUUGAAAACUGAGGGGAUGAGCUGUGGGUAGGGGUGAAAGGCCAAUCAAACUCCGUGAUAGCUGGUUCUCCCCGAAAUGCAUUUAGGUGCAGCGUGAUGUGUGCUUACCGGAGGUAGAGCUACUGGAUGGCCGAGCGGGACUAUCAUCUUAGUGACGUCAGCCAAACUCCGAAUGCCGGUGAAGUUUGAGCAUUGCAGUGAGACUGUGGGGGAUAAGCUUCAUAGUCGAGAGGGAAACAGCCCAGAUCGCCGGUUAAGGCCCCUAAGGGUGUGCUAAGUGGAAAAGGAUGUGGGAUCGCGAAGACAGCCAGGAGGUUGGCUUAGAAGCAGCCAUCCUUGAAAGAGUGCGUAAUAGCUCACUGGUCGAGUGGUUCUGCGCCGACAAUGUAGUGGGGCUCAAGCACACCGCCGAAGCCGCGGCAUAGUUUUUACUAUGGGUAGGGGAGCGUCGUGUGUGGGGUGAAGCCGUAUCGGAAGAAGCGGUGGACUGCACGCGAGUGAGAAUGCAGGCAUGAGUAACGAAUGAUACGUGAGAAUCGUAUCCGCCGAAUGACUAAGGGUUCCUGGGUCAAGUUCGUCUUCCCAGGGUGAGUCGGGUCCUAAGGCGAGGCCGACAGGCGUAGUCGAUGGUCAACGGGUUGAUAUUCCCGUACCCGUAUAUACGCGCCCAGUAUCGAAGCGGUGAUACUAACCACCCAGAUCCGCCGACAUGCACAUCUUUGAUGUGUGGUUGGUGGUGAUGCGUGGGGCCUGAUCCGUUGUAGGUCAGUGAUGGGGUGACGCAGCAAGGUAGCCAAGCCGCUUAUUGGAUUGCGGUGCAAGCGUGUGGCACGACAGCAUGUCAAAUGCGGCUGUCAAUAGUGUGAGGCGUGAUGCGUAGCCCAUA
rnacentral:rRNA from 1 species